rnacentral:lncRNA from 1 species
CCAGUGAAAUAUGAAUGGAUUUAAUGAGGCAGCCUGUGCCAUCUCUGAGCAGAAUCCUCCAUCUUUGGGACCAUCGUUCUCUUCUCACUACCAUGCGCCUUCUUGGUCCUAGAUAAUGAUACCAUUAACCUGAAUCCCAGAAGGAUGAGUGAGAAAUAGACUUGAUAAAAAUCAACAUACCACUGAAUUCUGCUGUUCUAAAAUCUGAGGCCUCUUGCUGUCUGGGUGCUUCAGGAAGACAUAUGCCUUCCACUGCCCACGGGAACAGUUCUUCUCAUCCCUUUUCUCGCAAAGGAAUAUCAUAGAAAAAAAAUUGAAAAAUACUUCCCCAUGUGAAGGAGCUUUGGUUCAGCUGCAGAGCUAAACUCACAUCUGCACUAGAUUGGAAUUGGCUGUGAAUGAUUACAAAUGAAAAUCUGUUGUUGCUGAAGGAUCUUAUUUGCAACAAAAGACAAGAACAGGAACAAAGAAAAUGCAACAUACAAUGCAGUAUUAGAACUUCAAAGGAAAACAAAAUGCAUGUUUACAGAAAGAGGAAAGCUGAAGGAAAUAAAACUCAGCACAAAAUAGAGCAACACUUGAAUGGCAACUGCUGGGAUGUACAAAGAGGAGACACAAAAUGGGAAGACAAGAUGCAUUUUUUUUAAAGGCAGG